rnacentral:lncRNA from 1 species
UUUUUUUUUUUUUUCCCUGAUACUUAAAGUAUGGCAAGUAGUCCAGUCUUUACUCCUUCUGUUUAUCCCUGCUUCCUAUUCCAGAAGCACUAGCACAGUAAGACUGCCAGCAUCUGCUAGAGCUGGUCAAAUAUAGGUAUGACAAUAACUGCAAUAAAAAAAAAGGAAAAGAAAUAUUAGUCCAUAACCUUGUAUGUCUAUAGGGAAUUUUAUUAUUCAGCUAGAGAGCUACAGCUUUUUUUCCUGGUGUCAUGACCUGCUUGAUAGGGGGCAUGGUGUUCAUUAUAAAUUCUUGUCAGGUUGAACAAACACACCAGUUCAUGUGUCAGAGAAUCUUCUGCUUUACUGUAGAAUUGUUUUAAAUCUGGCAGCUAGCCCACUACAUAGUCUCAAAAGCCUUGGCUCAAGCCCUUAAUUUUUACAGCACAUUUCAACAAGAUCCCAACUCUCUCAGACAAACGUCUAUAUAGAAUCAUGGGUGUAAUAUGACAGCCACACUUUUCCAAGACAAAGCAAGACAGGAGAGAAAUAAAUGCAGAAGAAAGAGAAGAAAGAAGAUCACUAAGUCUUAGAUCCCGAGUUGGUCCUGCUGCAUGGGUGGUCCAGAUCUGGGGUAGUGAGACAAAGAGAAAGGGAUGAAAAACAGAGUGGGGACUGAUCUACUUCAUUUUAUAGUUAACCUGCUGCAUACUUCUCAUGCAAACUGGAUUUUUCAUGCCAUUUGGUCCACACCAGCCAUUUCAAGCCCUUCAGGAACUGACUUGCUAUGGGAAGAGUUGAUGCAGGUGCAAUGAGCAUAAGCCUCAAGGCAGAAAAAAAGUUAGAUCACCUCUUGUCCAAUGACAACUUUCCAGUCGUGACAGUCAGAAUGUUUGAGAAAAAAAUGUUCUUACGUGCUUAUGGCUGAUCCUCCACAUCUGGUCACAUGAGACUGAAGCUGUGGUACAGUAAUUCAAAACAUUGAUUGGAUGUAAGAAAUGUAAGAAAGAAUCUAUUGAGGAAAUACAAUAGUUUAAACUAAAGUUUAAACAAGAUAAAGUAAGUAGUAGUUUCUUGAAAAAAAAACCAAAACAAAGCAAGCAAACAAAGCAAAAUAAUCAAACUCAAAUGUACUGGAAAAAAUAUCCAAGAAAGUCCCUUCCAUACAUCGUGCCACUGAUGAUAUGUGAAGUGAGUUGUGCUGAUCACACAGCAAGUUUGAAUUGGAAACCCUAAUUGCCCAGGGAUCUUGGAAUUCAUCACAAACUGGCCUGAAGUUGAAAAUUUUGGACUGUUGUCAUCAGAGGAAGAAGAAAAGGUGACAUGUGCUGGUGUGGCCCCACCAUGCAAUCAGCUAUCCAAAUAUGAAUAGUGAUGCGCUCUCUUCACUGGUGGUUCCUGACAUACUGUAGGAAUACAUAAGAAAUAGGAAACUUCUAUAUGGUGACACAUGCAGUGAGUGACAGAAGCUUUUGAGGGACAAGGUGGAUCAAGUCAGGUUUCAGAUCUGAAAGCUGUACAGCUGGUUUUGGAUGUUGCUGAACAAAAGAAAUGGCCAGCACUUUACCUCUCCGCUGACCCGUGGAUGGUAGAAAAUGCUCUGUGGUGUUGUCUUCCUCAGGAAACAGUCAUCCACAAACUUCUCCAAUGUGAGUCCAUGCCGUGGGCAACAGUUCUCCACAAACUGCUGCAAUGUGGGUCACUAUUCCAUGCAGGGAGGCUGGGCUAAAUGACCUUUAAAAGUCCCCUCCAACCCAAAUUAUGGUGUGAUAGACAGCACAUGUUGCAGCCAUUUAACUCGCAGAGGUUUACUCCGGGCUACUCCUUUGGAGAGGAUGGGCUGUCCUGUCCUGCCUUCCAGAUACUUCUUUUUGAAUAUACCCUCUUAAUUUUAAUUUCAAAUAGUUGUCACAGCAUUGCUUUGGUUUUGCUGAACCUUCUUAGGACUCUGAAUAGGGAAUUGUUUAAGUGCCUCUAAAACUGCUUACUGUGAAACAGAAGCAUUUAUUCUGUUACUAGAGGUAAUCUGUUUUUCUGUGUGCUUCUGUGGGUUUGGGAGAUUCUUUUGCAUAUCGAUACUGAGGCAUCACCUAUCUAAUCUUGUGGGAAACCCUUCCAAAUUUGUCAAGGUACUCCAGCACUGCUACCUCAGACUUCUCAGCACCCAGGAAAGAUGCUGUCUAGGGAAAGCUUGCACAGCUGGAACAAUCUCUGGGAGUAUAAACCACAGUGGGAUUAAAGAACAUGAACAAACUGAUAUGUGAGAACAAAUAUGAUGUGCAGAGGCUGUGAGUGACAUCCAGUGGGGCUUUCUCAUCCAAGGCAACCAAGGUAGAGAAGCUGAAAUAUUUCCUAAGCCUAAACUAGCCCCCAAACUUUAAAGCCAACAAUAGGUCUUUGCUUCUUGACCAUAAAUGUGGAAGCAGGCAGAUCACGUUCCUGCAGCUUUGAGAAGGACUCCUACACUUUGGUUCAGUGUCAGGGCAAACAGCCACGCUGGGGCUCCAGGUCGAGCUGCAGAGGCAAAUUUCACCAGCAUUCAUUGAGGGAUCUGCAAACCCAAAAGAAAAUAACCUUGAAUGCCAAUUCCUAAGCCAUGCCAUUCCAAAUAAAAAUCAUAAACUGUAGUAGGAGGUAUAAAUUCCAUAUUGACAUUCUGCUCCAGCCUCAAGCAUUGGAGAAUAACACACUGUUUAGGCUGCUGAAUGAGUGCUCUGUGUGCACUGAGUCAUUAAAAACCUGUGGAAUAGUCAGCCAUGGCUGCACAAAAAUAAAUAUACAGCUGACUGUAAGUAAUCCCUUCACCUGCUUUUUCAAGUAGAAUUUUAUUAAGAUGUUUUUAAAAGGGAAUGUUGGUUUUUUGUGUUUUUUUUUUUUUUUUUAAACACAGAGAUUUUGGUAUAUUUGAAUUGAAACCAUAUGUCAGUUUAUGCUGUUCACAUACAACAUCUGACUAGUUUUAAGUUUAAUACAUUGUUAAAAACAACUAAAUAAAAAUCUGAGUGAAUUUGUUAGGAUACAAAAAGGACAUUUAUCAACUCUUAAAAACAGAUCUGUAAAUACAAUGAAUUUUACUAUAGAAGCAUGAGGAAGGUUAUUCUUUUUACACUACAGUUGGAAAGAUAUGGCUGAAAGGAGAUAAAACUAGUUAAAUCAUAUGAUUUUUUUUUUUUUUACAUUUCCCAUCUCAUCUUUCUUUUAUCUGCACAGAGGGGAUACUAUUACUUUUAUUUCAGUUUUACCUCAGGCAGGAAGGCUCUCUGUGGAGACAUGUUUAAUAAAACUACAUAUAUUUGGUUAGCCUAAACAGGUAGGCUCCUCCUUUAAAUUCACAAGAAAACAAUUUAGAAGAUUAGUGAGGAGAGGAAAUUUGAUGAAUAAUCAGUAAAAAUGUGUCAGGAUCUAGCUUUUAUUCAGGAAUUCAUGCCUGAUCUUAACAUAUAAGAUUAUGUAUAAAUCAGAAAAUACCAUCCUUAUAAAGAUGGUAAAACUGGAAAUUCUUAAGUGUGUUUAAAUUGUUGGGGAAUUGACCUGAAGAACAGGCCUGGCAAAAUCCGGCUUUCAGAAAAUUUAUGUUCUCAAGACCUUGCCUCAAAUGAAUUCAUUAGAUCACAGGUCUACAAAACCUGAGAAACUGUGUAAAUGGAUUAAUCCCAUUGGAGAUGACAUCAACAUUUCCUCACCAAACUCUUAAAGACUUCUUCCAAGGCUUUCAUUUAAAUUCAUUGCUACCCCUGCCUGAGAAGGCCAUGUCAGAUUGUAAACUUCCUCUACUUUGUGAGACAGGGAGAGAAGGAAAAAGAAACUUUUGGGGAUUUUAAAACCUUAUCUUACUCCUAACAGGUUAGAUGGAAGGAGAAAGCAUUUUUUAUGAAUAAUUAGUGAACUGUGUUUCUGUAACAACUGCAAAGUAUGUGUUUCCACACGCAGCCUUUUCAUGCUUACAGAGAACAUUAAAAAUAACACAGAAAGGAUUGAAAAUCAAAUCAACAUGUUAAAAGCAUGAGAUGCUGUCUCUAUAACAAACCACAUUUACAGUAAUUGGAAAAUUUCUCCAUGUGCUGGCCAGUAAUGAUGUUUAAGUGUUUUCAUUUCCAAUGAAGAAGUGUUAUUAUUUCCACUUCAGGAACCUUGCCAAAGAGAUCCUAGCAAUAUCCCUUUUGGGGUUCAGGGUUUUUCAUCAACAGGCAGAAACUGUACUACUAAAAUACUAGUACAUUUUUAUCCUACUUUGACUCUCUUUUAACCUUUUCCCUUCUUAGGAAGUAUCCAGUUGCAUCUUUAUAAAAGCUUCACUUUAUAAAACAAACUGAGCAUAGCCUCAGUUUUCUGCUUUAAGGAAAUUAUAUUUCCAUCAAAUAAAUCAGCACCCACUACAGAGAUGGGGCUGUGGUAAAAUCUUUUUCCAUAAUUUUUUGCCAAGGCCAAGGUCAUUUUGGUGUUGGCUCAAACUGAAGUAGGUUCAAUAUUAAUUGCAAACUCUUCUGAGACAAACAGCCUGACAGAUCUUUUCCAUUAGUUGUAUUCACAUUCAGCCUCAUACCCAAUCUUUCUAUAGCUACUUUUGUUUUUUAAAUUUCGUUUUCUGUAAUGCUUAUCCAAAACAGAACAGUGUUAAUGGACUCAGAGGAUUCUGUGCCCAGAUACAGAUGUGAUUUCAGCCUGAAAUUUGUGAAGGAGAAAAGGGUUAUCAUAAUCAGUUAGCUUGAAUAAGCUAACAUUAAAGUUGUUUUCUCUACAAAUUUGUUUUUGAGAUAUCUGUUGGUCAGCUGUUCCAAUUCUGAAUUAAAUAUGCCUUUUUGAGAAAUUCAAAAUUUCAGUGAAACCCCAGACAUUCCUCUGGUCCUGAAAUAUUCAGUAUGGUUUGUGCUUCAGAAUACUGAUUCUGAAUUUCUGCUUGUAUUGCAAAGUUAUACUGAAUUAAUACUAAAUGUGUUAUAAAAGCUUCAUUUCCCAAAUCUUUUUUUCACUUUACAGAAUUUCUGGUAUGUUCUUACGGCAAUUUUCCUACAAAAAUCCCUGGCAGUGCUCCUUCAUGGACUAUUUCACGCUCCCCCCCCCCCCCCCCCCCCCCCACUUGAUGCCAUUUAAGCAUUUAGCACUGCGCCCUACAACUAGAAAUUACAUACAUAUAAUUUUUAGUCUUGUUUUAGAACAAGGUUUCUUUAUGUAAAGGCAUAGUACAGUUCAUAGCAGGAAAACAGAAGCCAGUAGUCAGAAAACAUUUAUACUCGGAAGCCUGUGGGGCCUUUAGGACCAUAUAACAUAUUUCUGUUCUCCAAAUAAACGGCCAUUUACAUCUGAAAUAUUCUGAUGUUGCAAAGUUUACCAUGAUCUACAACAGAAAUAGCAACUACAUGUGAGCCAAAAACCAAAGAUGGAGCAAAGCUUGCAGAAGAAAAUGUAUACAACUGAAAUCAUCUAAGUCCAGCACUGAGCUGUGCAUUUGCCAUCAGUUUAUAGGCAAUUUCUGGGCUGGAGGCUGAUUUUGGUGCUGCUUAAUCAGGUUAUGCAGUGUAAUUUCUAUAGUUCUUUAUAUUACUUUAAACUUGGUUUAAAAUGUUCAGUGGAAAAACAGUGGCUUUACCACAGCAGAGUAUAUAAUGCCAAGUAUUUGUAAGACAACAGUACCAGUAUGCUGCUUUAUUUUUGGCUUCCUGUACUUUUUCCUCAUUUAUACAGCAGGAACUUUUAAAUGCUUGGGUUGGCAUGGAGGAUAAAAUACUGAAAUCAACCAGUAUUUUGACAAUGCCCAGGAUUUAAAUGAGGGCCUUCAUGGGAGCAUGCCACAAAGGAAGAUCUGUUUCUUGGAUGCAUCCCAAAAGCUCCCCAGAUACCAAAUGUAAUGCAGCAAUCCCUAUGGACUCCCAGCAGAAAAUGCAACAUUCAUCAGAAAAGCAGCUUGCUCACUUCCCUGGUUCUCUGCACCCCAGGUUUCUGGUAUUCCUGAUAAAUUCCCUUCUGUCUUCCUUCAGUUUUAUUGCCCUCUGGACUUCCAGUUAUUGCCAGAAAUUACAAAGUUCUACACUGACUGAUUUUUAUGUUGUUUCUUCAGGCUUUGCUGUGGUGUGCCUGCUGCUGUUAACUGUGAUGACAAUUUCAGACCCUUCAACUCAAGUCUUGAUAGAGAAAGGUGAUUGUUACUUUCAUGUAAUAUCUUUCAGAACAAAAAACCAACAACAACUUGAUUUUCAUUUGUAUGCACAUGGUUUCAUGGACAGUUUAAGGGUAUUCACAUUAGAUUAUCUCAUUGCAGUCUUGAGACUUUUGUCUUUUAGGUGUGAUUUUUUGAAUGAAUAGUGGCUACUCAUUCACAGUCCUGUUCUGUCAGUGUGAGCCCUCAUAUUUUUCACCAUUUGAUGCUUUUCAGUUAAAACUUAGAAUUCUGUUGCCUUGUAAUCCUGACCUGUAAUACGUAUUGCCUUGUAUCAGGCUGUGGUGUAUCUUUCAAGUUCCAGUUUUUAUCAAACCUAUGCCCACUGAGUCACUAAGACUGCAGAUCCCAAAUUGCAGAUUUCCUUCAAAAAUAGACAUUCCAAGUCUGCUUUCUAUUGGGGUGAGACUAUUUGGAUAUAAAAUUUAAAUUAAACCUGGAUAAUGUGUGCCCAAUUGAAAACAGCAUUGGCAGGCAGCAGCUGCAGCAGGGAAGAGCAUAUAUCUCUUAGUCUCUAAAUAUACAAAGAGAGAAGGCUAGGGGUUUUUUUGUUUGUUUUUUUUUUUUUUUUUACUCUCUGUGGCACUGGUGAAAGCAUAACCAUGCUGACAAAGCUAUAGCUGGGUGAUUUAUGGUGCAGUACUUCCAUGAGGAGAUAUCAAAAGGGGAGUCCAGUAGAACCCAAGUACCAGCCAAAUCAGCUGCCUGUCAGUAAUACCAGCCUGGGUAGAAAUGGAUGGAGACAAUGUACUAUG